GAUGAACGCUGACAGAAUGCUUAACACAUGCAAGUCAACUUGAACUUCGGUUUGGGUGGCGGACGGGUGAGUAACGCGUAAAGAACUUGCCUCACAGCUAGGGACAACAUUUGGAAACGAAUGCUAAUACCUGAUAUUAUGAUUUUAGGGCAUCCUAGAAUUAUGAAAGCUAUAUGCGCUGUGAGAGAGCUUUGCGUCCCAUUAGCUAGUUGGAGAGGUAACGGCUCACCAAGGCGAUGAUGGGUAGCCGGCCUGAGAGGGUGAUCGGCCACAAGGGGACUGAGACACGGCCCUUACUCCUACGGGAGGCAGCAGUGGGGAAUAUUGGACAAUGGACCAAGAGUCUGAUCCAGCAAUUCUGUGUGCACGAUGAAGUUUUUCGGAAUGUAAAGUGCUUUCAGUUGGGAAGAAAAAAAUGACGGUACCAACAGAAGAAGUGACGGCUAAAUACGUGCCAGCAGCCGCGGUAAUACGUAUGUCACAAGCGUUAUCCGGAUUUAUUGGGCGUAAAGCACGUCUAGGUGGUUAUAUAAGUCUGAUGUGAAAAUGCAGGGCUCAACUCUGUAUUGCGUUGGAAACUGUGUAACUAGAGUACUGGAGAGGUAAGCGGAACUACAAGUGUAGAGGUGAAAUUCGUAGAUAUUUGUAGGAAUGCCGAUGGGGAAGCCAGCUUACUGGACAGAUACUGACGCUGAAGCGCGAAAGCGUGGGUAGCAAACAGG
rnacentral:rRNA from 1 species